rnacentral:rRNA from 1 species
GAUGAACGCUGGCGGCGUGCCUAAUACAUGCAAGUCGAGCGAACGGACGAGAAGCUUGCUUCUCUGAUGUUAGCGGCGGACGGGUGAGUAACACGUGGAUAACCUACCUAUAAGACUGGGAUAACUUCGGGAAACCGGAGCUAAUACCGGAUAAUAUUUUGAACCGCAUGGUUCAAAAGUGAAAGACGGUCUUGCUGUCACUUAUAGAUGGAUCCGCGCUGCAUUAGCUAGUUGGUAAGGUAACGGCUUACCAAGGCAACGAUGCAUAGCCGACCUGAGAGGGUGAUCGGCCACACUGGAACUGAGACACGGUCCAGACUCCUACGGGAGGCAGCAGUAGGGAAUCUUCCGCAAUGGGCGAAAGCCUGACGGAGCAACGCCGCGUGAGUGAUGAAGGUCUUCGGAUCGUAAAACUCUGUUAUUAGGGAAGAACAUAUGUGUAAGUAACUGUGCACAUCUUGACGGUACCUAAUCAGAAAGCCACGGCUAACUACGUGCCAGCAGCCGCGGUAAUACGUAGGUGGCAAGCGUUAUCCGGAAUUAUUGGGCGUAAAGCGCGCGUAGGCGGUUUUUUAAGUCUGAUGUGAAAGCCCACGGCUCAACCGUGGAGGGUCAUUGGAAACUGGAAAACUUGAGUGCAGAAGAGGAAAGUGGAAUUCCAUGUGUAGCGGUGAAAUGCGCAGAGAUAUGGAGGAACACCAGUGGCGAAGGCGACUUUCUGGUCUGUAACUGACGCUGAUGUGCGAAAGCGCGGGGAUCAAACAGGAUUAGAUACCCUGGUAGUCCACGCCGUAAACGAUGAGUGCUAAGUGUUAGGGGGUUUCCGCCCCUUAGUGCUGCAGCUAACGCAUUAAGCACUCCGCCUGGGGAGUACGACCGCAAGGUUGAAACUCAAAGGAAUUGACGGGGACCCGCACAAGCGGUGGAGCAUGUGGUUUAAUUCGAAGCAACGCGAAGAACCUUACCAAAUCUUGACAUCCUUUGACAACUCUAGAGAUAGAGCCUUCCCCUUCGGGGGACAAAGUGACAGGUGGUGCAUGGUUGUCGUCAGCUCGUGUCGUGAGAUGUUGGGUUAAGUCCCGCAACGAGCGCAACCCUUAAGCUUAGUUGCCAUCAUUAAGUUGGGCACUCUAAGUUGACUGCCGGUGACAAACCGGAGGAAGGUGGGGAUGACGUCAAAUCAUCAUGCCCCUUAUGAUUUGGGCUACACACGUGCUACAAUGGACAAUACAAAGGGCAGCGAAACCGCGAGGUCAAGCAAAUCCCAUAAAGUUGUUCUCAGUUCGGAUUGUAGUCUGCAACUCGACUACAUGAAGCUGGAAUCGCUAGUAAUCGUAGAUCAGCAUGCUGCGGUGAAUACGUUCCCGGGUCU